AGCUGAUCACUGGGUGUAAAGCGUGCGCAGGCGGUUUUGUAAGACAGAGGUGAAAUCCCCGGGCUCAACCUGGGAACUGCCUUUGUGACUGCAAGGCUGGAGUGCGGCAGAGGGGGAUGGAAUUCCGCGUGUAGCAGUGAAAUGCGUAGAUAUGCGAAGGAACACCGAUGGCGAAGGCAAUCCCCUGGGCCUGCACUGACGCUCAUGCACGAAAGCGUGGGGAGCAAACA
rnacentral:rRNA from 1 species